GUAGAUUCUGAGGCCUCUCACGGUGGACGGUAGAUUUCGGGGCCUCUCACGGUGGACGGUAGAUUCUGAGGCCUCUCACGGGGGAUGGUAGAUUCUGAGGCCUCUCACGGGGGACGGUAGAUUCUGAGGCCUCUCACGGUGGACGGUAGAUUCUGAGGCCUCUCACGGUGGACGGUAGAUUUCGGGGCCUCUCAUGGUGGACGGUAGAUUCUGAGGCCUCUCACGGGGGACAGUAGAUUCUGAGGCCUCUCACGGUGGACGGUAGAUUUCGGGGCCUCUCACGGUGGACGGUAGAUUCUGAGGCCUCUCACGGUGGACGGUAGAUUCUGAGGCCUCUCACGGUGGACGGUAGAUUUCGGGGCCUCUCACGGUGGACGGUAGAUUUCGGGGCCUCUCACGGGGACGGUAGAUUCUGAGGCCUCUCACGGGGGAUGGUAGAUUCUGAGGCCUCUCACGGGGGACGGUAGAUUCUGAGGCCUCUCACGGGGGACGGUAGAUUCUGAGGCCUCUCACGGGGGACGGUAGAUUCUGAGGCCUCUCACGGUGGACGGUAGAUUCUGAGGCCUCUCACGGUGGACGGUAGAUUUCGGGGCCUCUCACGGUGGACGGUAGAUUCUGAGGCCUCUCACGGGGAUGGUAGAUUUCGGGGCCUCUCACGGUGGACGGUAGAUUUCGGGGCCUCUCACGGUGGAUGGUAGAUUCUGAGGCCUCUCAUGGGGACGGUAGAUUCUGAGGCCUCUCACGGGGGAUGGUAGAUUCUGAGGCCUCUCACGGUGGACGGUAGAUUUCGGGGCCUCUCACGGUGGACGGUAGAUUCUGAGGCCUCUCACGGGGGACGGUAGAUUCUGAGGCCUCUCACGGUGGACGGUAGAUUUCGGGGCCUCUCACGGGGGAUGGUAGAUUCUGAGGCCUCUCACGGGGGAUGGUAGAUUUCGGGGCCUCUCACGGUGGACGGAGUAGUUUCCUGAUAAGAAAAGCUCACCAGACUGUCUCAACUUCUAGACUCCUGCUUUGUGAGACUGCUGGCUUCCUAGAGUUGUGCCAGAUCAGCUCCCGGGAGAGGACUGGAAUGAUGGCUUCUAUCUGUUCCAAAGAACUCCAAUAUUGCCUCAAGUGAAGAGGAAAGCCUCAUAUUUCAAGGCCACUGACUGGAGCCCAUUCACAUGCCGCAAGGGGACGGAUGCCGUUGUUUUUUUUACGGCGAAGAAAACGGUGAUGUAUUGGAGUCUCAUCACCCCGUCUCUCCAUCAUUGUUGGUGUGUGGAUCAGCCAGUCUGGCUUGUGUAGCAGGAUUAAAAUGUUAUGUCUCCCAGUGAGCUAGUGAAUAUCAACACUUUCCUUCUUUCUGUAUGUGAAGUCCCUUUUCAGUGGAUAAAGCCAUUUGUUGACAGAAUUAUUGACAUUUUUAUGGGAUUGUUUUUGGAAAAGGCUAACAUGUAAUUUCAAAUUCAACAUAUGGUAGUGGUCAAAUUGUGUUCCUACUGUGUAAAAUGCCUGCAUAAUAACCUACUGCACUCUCUUGGCCGGUACACAGAGCAAAAC
rnacentral:lncRNA from 1 species